ensembl:lncRNA
AUGGAUUGGUUUGCAUUAGUUUGGUGUUUCUCACUCCUGACAGGUUUUCUGCCUCCUUACAGCGUCUUCACGACAGCAGACAACAGCACAAUUUUAGUCACUGCAGUCAACACAACGAGCGACAAUACAACAUCUAGCCCGCCGGACAGAAACUCUACUAAUAUAACUCCACUCACUUCAACUGCAUCCCUCAUUAUCACAAACAGCAGUGCUGCAACUACAUCAACAAGUCUCACCACUUCAGCAUCUACAGUUGCUACAGGUUGUUCGGGUCCACCAGAUCUAUGUUGCCCAGGGCGCAACGACUCCUGCUACAGAGGGUGUUUCUGUGACGAGAUCUGCGUGACAUUGGGUGACUGCUGUCCUGACUAUAAUUCAACCUGUAAACAAUCAAACAGUACAACACUUGCACCACUUAAUGUGACCACAACCUCAGGAUCCAGUCUUUCUUCAACAUUUUCUCCCACCUCUAGUAAUUCAGCUAUAGCGAUUGUUCGCCUAAAAGUUUCCUUACUAUCUAAUUCUGAAGCCAAAGAACGAGCGAUUUUAGAAAUUUCAUCUUUUCUUCAGAGACUUGUCCAGCAGAGAUGUAAUGGCUGCGCCGUGACGGUAAAACCUGUGUGAGGCUUUGGACAAUUAAGUAAUUAGAAUGAGGCAACAUGAUGAUGACAGACUCCAACACUCACAAUAAAAUCUAAUCAAACCGGUAAAGCUAAUUGAUUAUUUCAGAAUUAAUAAGGUGACAGACAUUUGUUCUUAAGUUACCAGUAUAUGCAUGUUUCUAAGUUCUUAUAAUCAGGCCAACAAAAGCUUAUAUUUAAGGAUGUAUUACACAGUUAUGAAUAUUUACCAUAUAUAGAGAUAAAGGGUUUUUUUAGGUGGAGGUACAAGAUUUUUUUUAAAUAAAGUUUAAUAAUGGAAUGAUUUUUUUAAAAAAGAAAAGAAAUUCUGACAAUCAUUUGACAGAAGAAUAACUCACCAUACAAAUCCAGUCUGCGCGGGUCAAGGAACGAGACACACUGCCAAACAUGUUUGCAAUCCUCUAUUUUUUUCUGUGUUACAUUAAGUUGUGGAAGUUAAGCGGCUGCAAUAAAAUUAUAACGCAUUAUUUAAAAUGAAAUUUUAGCAGUGCCAUGAGAAUUUUCCAGAUGAUAUGUGAUGUAAUUACAUUAAAGUAACAUGUAAUAUAUAAUUCCUUUGAUCUGGUGUAAUUUCUUCAUUUUUUUAAUUCCUCACCUGCUAAUAAGGGAAAUCAAGGAAAACAACAUUCAUGACUUAACCUCUUCCACAUCUGACAUGAUUAAUGUAAUCUUUUUUAAACAGCAUGUUGAUUAUAGGAAAAAAGUCUUUAUUUGUUCAUGAAUGUUUUUUUCUUUUUAAAAUGUCUAUUUGGCUGUGUUAUAUGGGUUGAAUUGAUUGAUUUGAUCUUCUUUUUCUGUUUUUAUAUGCAUAUAUAAAACAUAAUUUUUUUCUUUUACUUAUUUCAAGCAAAAAUAUCUUGUAUUAAGUAGAACAAGUGCCAAUGGAACAAGUGAAAAUUCACCAGUUUCAAGAUGCACUGUCUAAAACCAAGUUCCUAUAUCUCACGGAAACGUUACUCUGUAGCUGAAUGUGUCUUAUUUUAAUGUAAUGUAAUGAGAUUAUUUUGACUAGAAAUAAGACAAAUAUACUUUGUAAAAUUUUGAGUGUUUGUAGUGCAACCACUGGAGGCAGAAGUGAAAUAGAACUAUUCUGUACAUCUUAAAUACAACUCAGAAUUGUAAAAAAAAAAAAGAAAAGAAAAAAAAAAGUAUUAUUAUUGAAGCACAGACUCCGACAUGAGUUGGAUCAGAGUGUGUAGCCAUCAAGCAGGAGUGGAAGGUUAAUAACAAUGGGCAGAAACAAUCUGAGAGGCAGAGGUGGGAAAUGAGAAAGAGUGAGAUCUGGAACAGAAGUCUGAGGAACAAGAGCAGAAGCAAAAACUCAGCUUUUGUUUUUGUUCCCCACUUGUCACUUAUUCCAACCUGCCCAAGUUUCCAUUGUCACUUUAUCUAAUCACAAAGUGAUUUAUUCUUAUUUGAUAAGAGGGUUUUGUUUCAGGACUCUUUCCUCUCGUUAUGGCUGAAUCAGUAAAAGGACUAGAUGUUACAGUCCCUGAUAAUGCAUUGCUUUAAAUGGAGUGAAUCUUGAGGGAUGACUUUUAUGAGGAAAGGCAGCCCAGAAAC